GCUUGUUUAACUCCACCAAACAUCAGUUAAUGCAGUGAGAAGAUACAUCAUCUGCAUAUUAGUGGACUGAAUCUAAAGUUGUUCACUCUUUCAGCUCCGCUGUGGUCUCUUUAGCUGCUUAAUGCUCCUCUGUGUUCACCAGUUGGCUGCUGUUUGUGUCUGUCUGCUCCUUGGUGCUGCACAGGUGGUGUACAGGUGGUGUACAGCGGCUUCAGCUCCUAGAGAAGGGUGGAUGAGAGCCGUGAGGGAGAACAGACAGGGAGACUGUGGGUCGGGUAUUGUGCCACGACACCAUGAAGUCUUAUAUUUUGGUGCUCUGCGGCAUCCAUUCCCCCCCCGUGGCGAGCUUUUCUUUCCUUACCCGGCGUCUGGGCUUCUUCCGGUUUCCAUUCCCGAUGUUUGAGCUUCUGCUGAGCCGCCCAUUCUUUGAGUUAUAACAGUUCAUUCACCUAAGACCAAGACCGUUUACAUGUUAUUUAUUUCACUAAAUGAUACUACUUCCAUCUUGAUAUCAUCAUAUUUCCUAAAUCAUGGUAUUAUCUUUCAUAUUGUCUAUUAUCUUUCACAUCUAUAGCAAAUAAACAUUCCAUAGUAUUUGAUUGUUUCAGCUACAUCACAUACAAUGUGUAUUCAUUCUUUUUUUGUACUAAUUACACACAUCUAUGCUUGUAUUUAGCUCACACUUGAUGGCUUUCACACAAAUAUUUGCCUUAUCCAACUCAGCACGUUGGAGGACUCACAGGUCUGUGUGUGUCUGUCACUCACGCAGUCUAAAGGAGCUCUGUUGCUCCACCCACUGGUAACAGCAGCGAACUACACCAGUACACCACCCGCCUACUUAUUGAACAAUGUCAUUGUCACACACACACACACACACACACACAGCUACACACACACACACACACGCACACACAGCUACACAGGGAGCAUCACACAUGUUCACAUGGAUGGUUUCACACACACACACACACAAGGUACAUUUAUUUGAGCUGGCAGGUGUUACCGGUCAUUGCAACCACUUUCCUGUUGUGUCCCCGGGUCCCCUCCUCCCCCGGCCUCACUCCACCUCUCCCAAUUCCUCCCUCUCUCUCUCUCUCUCUCUCUCCCCCCUUUUCCCUUGUCUCUCCUCAGCGUUUCAUCUCCCCUCAUCUCUCUUCAUGGGCAGUAGGGAGGUUUAGAUGCUAAUGAUGUGCCCCCUUGCAACAAAGGGUUGGAGGCCCCCUGACAGAGCCUCUUUGGACACACACACACACACACACACACGUCCUCGAGCACCAACACCAGCUGUUCUUUGUUGGCCUCUUAUUACAGAGACUCCCUGAAAGAUUUAGCUGCUGUGCGUCUUUUUAUUUUGACGUACACACACAUGCACAUAGAUAUGAAACACACACACCUUGUUAAGGAGAAUGAACUGACACACACUCAGUUUGAUCAGUUCAAACGUAUUUUGUCAUUUUUAAGAAAAUAAGGUGAAAUGUCACUGAGUUGUAUUUGAAUGUAUUUGUUUAGUAAUUGUCUCCAUUGGUUUCGAUCCCCUGCUGUGAAUAAUUGAUGACUGGGAACUGAUAAUGGAAGGCAGCAUGUGUGUGACAGUGUGACAGACACACACCAUCUGCUGACACACACACACACAGGCCCACACCAUGAUAUUACCCAGUCACCACACACACACACACACACAGUGGGAUGAUUAACAUCUGGUGCAGAUUGCCAUCUUAAACACAGUGACCAGUCCCCUUUGAAGGCCGGACCAGUGGUUUCACUGGUUUGAUCCCAGUAUGCAGACAGACGCAGAUCUACCUCAUGUGUUUAAAAUACAACUUAGUUUGCCCACAGAUUUCAUUCGUCCAUUAACCCGGAAUGAAUGAUUGGAACAACUUCUCAUUAAGGAAGCUUCUCUCUCCCGAGUGAACCAGGAACUGCUGCACAUUCAGGAAUGGAGACACAUCGUCCAUCAGAACCCCAUCGGACCUCCAUGCAAAGCAGAAUUACACCAGUUUCCUGUUGAGACAGAAUGCAAGAGGACUCAUCGGGUUUCCCUUCAGCCGCCCAAAGAAAUAGAAACCUUUCUCGCAAGUGUUGAGAAGCUAACGCGCUGAUCUAAGAUGGCGAGCAACACCUGACAGCCACGUGUCAGCGGCGUGAUGGUGCGACGUCUGGAGAAAAUACCCAGAUGUCAACCACACGGCGUCUUGUCGCCCCCGAACGUCCCCGUCCCCCUGGGCGACACGCACAGAGACGCAAGGGCGACGUGGAAGACACGGCUUCAGGGUUGUGCACCGAUGCCACUGAGUGAGUCCUGCCAACUGUUCACCUUAUAUGGUGCGAGGCCUUGACUGAGUUUUGGAGGAAGUC